rnacentral:rRNA from 1 species
GAGCGGCAGCGGGAAAGUAGCUUGGUACUUUUGCCGGCGAGCGGCGGACGGGUGAGUAAUGCCUGGGAAAUUGCCCAGUCGAGGGGGAUAACAGUUGGAAACGACUGCUAAUACCGCAUACGCCCUUCGGGGGAAAGCCGGGGACCUUCGGGCCCUGCGCGAUUGGAUAUGCCCAGGUGGGAUUAGCUAGUUGGUGAGGUAAUGGCUCACCAAGGCGACGAUCCCUAGCUGGUUUGAGAGGAUGAUCAGCCCCCCUGGAAAUGAGACCCGGUCCCGACUCCUUCGGGAGGCAGCCGUGGGGAAUAUUGCCCAAUGGGGGAAACCCUGAUGCAGCCCUGCCGCGUGUGUGAAGAAGGCCUUCGGGUUGUAAAGCACUUUCAGCGAGGAGGAAAGGUCCGUAGCUAAUAUUUGCUGGCUGUGACGUUACAAGCCGAAGAAGCCCCGGCUAACUCCGUG